rnacentral:rRNA from 1 species
UACGAAGGUGGCAAGCGUUGUUCGGAUUUACUGGGCGUACAGGGAGCGUAGGCGGUUGGAUAAGCCCUCCGUGAAAUCUCCAGGCUUAACCUGGAAAGUGCAGAGGGGACUGUUCAGCUAGAGGAUGGGAGAGGAGCGCGGAAUUCCCGGUGUAGCGGUGAAAUGCGUAGAUAUCGAGAGGAACACCUGCGGCGAAGGCGGGUUGCUGGGCUGACACUGACGCUGAGGCGCGAAAGCUAGGGGAGCGAACGGG